CCUGCUCUUAGGGGCACUGCAGAGGUUUGCAUGAGCCUCAGCAGGUGGCAGAGAGGAGAGAGGCUAUGUCUACACUCAGCGUUCUGAGCUGUGAACAACAGAAUGAUUAAUAGCCUAAUAUU
rnacentral:snoRNA from 1 species